UACGGGGGAUGCAAGCGUUGUUCGGAAUCACUGGGCUUAAAGCGCGUGUAGGCGGUUCGGUAAGUACCUUGUGAAAUCCCUCCUCUCAAUGGAGGAAUGGCUGGGUAUACUGCUGGACUCGAGGGAGGUAGGGGCGCCUGGAACUCUAGGUGGAGCGGUUAAAUGCGUAGAUAUCUAGAGGAACGCCCGUGGCGAAAGCGGGGCACUGGGCCUCUCCUGACGCUGAGACGCGAAAGCGUGGGUAGCAAACGGG
rnacentral:rRNA from 1 species